rnacentral:rRNA from 1 species
CACGUAGGCACCAAGCGUUGUCCGGAUUUAUUGGGCGUAAAGAGCUCGUAGGCGGUUCGGUAAGUCGGGUGUGAAAACUUUGGGCUCAACCCAAAGCCUGCACUCGAUACUGCUGUGACUUGAGUACGGAAGAGGCGAGUGGAAUUCCUGGUGUAGCGGUGAAAUGCGCAGAUAUCAGGAGGAACACCAAUUGCGAAGGCAGCUCGCUGGGACGUUACUGACGCUGAGACGCGAAAGCGUGGGGAGCAAACAGG